GCGAAUGCUGACAUGAGUAACGAGACGAGUGUGAGAAACACUCGCGCCGAAAGUCCAAGGGUUCCUGCUUAAAGCUAAUCUGAGCAGGGUAAGCCGGCCCCUAAGCCGAGGCCGAAAGGCGUAGGCGAUGGGAACCACGUUAAUAUUCGUGGGCCAGGAGGAUGUGACGGAUCAUGAAGGUUGUUCGCCCUUAUCGGAUUGGGCGGGCCGCUGAUUGGUCCCUGGAAAUAGCCCUCCAUGAGACCGUACCCUAAACCGACACAGGUGGACUGGUAGAGAAUACCAAGGCGCUUGAGAGAACGAUGUUGAAGGAACUCGGCAAAAUACCUCCGUAAGUUCGCGAGAAGGAGGCCCGGUUCUGAGGUAACUUGGAGCUGGGGGCACAAACCAGGGGGUGGCGACUGUUUAUUAAAAACACAGGGCUCUGCGAAGUCGCAAGACGACGUAUAGGGUCUGACGCCUGCCCGGUGCCUGAAGGUUAAAAGGAGGGGUGAGAGCUCUGAAUUGAAGCCCAGGUAAACGGCGGCCGUAACAAUAA
rnacentral:rRNA from 1 species